rnacentral:rRNA from 1 species
UAAGGAAUAUUGGACAAUGGCCGCAAGGCUGAUCCAGCCAUCCAGCGUGCAGGAAGAAGGCCCUAUGGGUUGUAAACUGCUUUUGUCAGGGAAGAAACCUUGGGAUUUACUCCUGAGCUGACGGUACCUGAAGAAUAGGCACCGGCUAACUCCGUGCCAGCAGCCGCGGUAAUACGGAGGGUGCGAGCGUUAUCCGGAAUUACUGGGUUUAAAGGGUGCGUAGGCGGCUUUGUAAGUCAGGAGUGAAAGUUUGCGGCUCAACCGUAAAAUUGCUUUUGAUACUGCGAGGCUGGAAUUAGGAUGAGGUCAGCGGAAUGUGGCAUGUAGCGGUGAAAUGCAUAGAUAUGCCAUAGAACACCAAUUGCGAAGGCAGCUGGCUAGACCUGGAUUGACGCUGAGGCACGAAAGCGUGGGGAGCGAACAGGAUUAGAUACCCUGGUAGUCCACGCCCUAAACGAUGCUCACUCGACGUAUGAUGCUAGACAUUGUGCGUCCAAGGGAAACCGUUAAGUGAGCCACCUGGGGAGUACGACCGCAAGGUUGA